AAGAGUGCGUAAUAGCUCACUGGUCGAGUGACCCCGCGCCGAAAAUGUACCGGGGCUAAACAUAUUACCGAAACUGUGGAUGAACCUCUUUAGAGGUUCGUGGUAGGAGAGCGUUCUAAGGGCGGUGAAGUCAGACCGGAAGGACUGGUGGAGCGCUUAGAAGUGAGAAUGCCGGUAUGAGUAGCGAAAGAAGGGUGAGAAUCCCUUCCACCGAAUAUCUAAGGUUUCCUGAGGAAGGCUCGUCCGCUCAGGGUUAGUCGGGACCUAAGCCGAGGCCGAUAGGCGUAGGCGAUGGACAACAGGUAGAGAUUCCUGUACCAGUGCUAAUUGUUUAACCGAUGGGGUGACACAGAAGGAUAGGGAAUCGCACGAAUGGAAAUGUGCGUCCAAGCAGUGAGUGUGAGAAGUAGGCAAAUCCGCUUCUCGCGAAGCAUGAGCUGUGAUGGGGAAGGAAAUUAAGUACGGAAGUUCCUGAUUUCACGCUGUCAAGAAAAGCCUCUAGGAAGAGUAGUACUGCCCGUACCGCAAACCGACACAGGUAGAUGAGGAGAGAAUCCUAAGGUGAGCGAGAGAACUCUCGUUAAGGAACUCGGCAAAAUGACCCCGUAACUUCGGGAGAAGGGGUGCUCUAUUAGGGUGCAAGCCCGAGAGAGCCGCAGUGAAUAGGCCCAGGCGACUGUUUAGCAAAAACACAGGUCUCUGCAAAACCGUAAGGUGACGUAUAGGGGCUGACGCCUGCCCGGUGCUGGAAGGUUAAGAGGAGUGCUUAGCUUCGGCGAAGGUACGAAUUGAAGCCCCAGUAAACGGCGGCCGUAACUAUAACGGUCCUAAGGUAGCGAAAUUCCUUGUCGGGUAAGUUCCGACCCGCACGAAAGGCGCAACGAUCUGGGCACUGUCUCAACGAGAGACUCGGUGAAAUUAUAGUACCUGUGAAGAUGCAGGUUACCCGCGACAGGACGGAAAGACCCCGUGGAGCUUUACUGCAACCUGAUAUGGAAUGUUUGUACCGCUUGUACAGGAUAGGUAGGAGCCGAAGAGACGUGUGCGCUAGCAUACGAGGAGGCAAUGGUGGGAUACUACCCUGGCUGUAUGACCAUUCUAACCCGCCACGCUUAGCGCGUGGGGAGACAGUGUCAGGUGGGCAGUUUGACUGGGGCGGUCGCCUCCUAAAGAGUAACGGAGGCGCCCAAAGGUUCCCUCAGAAUGGAUGGAAAUCAUUCGCAGAGUGUAAAGGCACAAGGGAGCUUGACUGCGAGACUGACAAGUCGAGCAGGGACGAAAGUCGGGCUUAGUGAUCCGGUGGUUCCGCAUGGAAGGGCCAUCGCUCAACGGAUAAAAGCUACCCCGGGGAUAACAGGCUUAUCUCCCCCAAGCGUCCACAUCGACGGGGAGGUUUGGCACCUCGAUGUCGGCUCGUCGCAUCCUGGGGCUGUAGUCGGUCCCAAGGGUUGGGCUGUUCGCCCAUUAAAGCGGCACGCGAGCUGGGUUCAGAACGUCGUGAGACAGUUCGGUCCCUAUCCGUCGCGGGCGCAGGAAAUUUGAGAGGAGCUGUCCUUAGUACGAGAGGACCGGGAUGGACACACCGCUGGUGUACCAGUUGUUCCGCCAGGAGCAUCGCUGGGUAGCUAUGUGUGGCAGGGAUAAACGCUGAAAGCAUCUAAGCGUGAAGCCCCCCUCAAGAUGAGAUUUCCCAUUUCUUCGGAAAGUAAGAUCCCUGAAAGAUGAUCAGGUAGAUAGGUUUGGAGUGGAAGUGUAGCGAUACAUGGAGCGGACAAAUACUAAUCGAUCGAGGACUUAACCAAAA
rnacentral:rRNA from 1 species